rnacentral:lncRNA from 1 species
AAAGAUUAUUGGGAUCUACUCAAAUAAAGACAUUGCCCAUCAGCCCUGACAACGCUGUGUCUCUGUGAUGCUUGUGACUACUCCAUCUCUAAAAAGUACAAAACUUAGCCGGGUGUAGUGGCAUGUACCUGUAGUCCCAGAUACUCAGGAUGCUGAGGUGGGAGGAUGACUUAAGUCUGGGAGUUCGAGGCUGCAUUGAGGUGUGGACCUACCUGGGUUAAGACUGACUGAACCCAACAUGGCACUGGAUUUGAGCUAGGUUUCACCUAGGAUCUCAUUAGAUGUUCAUUAACAUACUAAAUCACACACAUACCAGCACC